UGUAGAUUCUGAGAAAAGAAAAUUACAGGAAACGAGCAUGUGCACAGCGCUGAGGGAAGCAUAUGCUUGGCAAGCUCGAGGAACAGCAAGGAGACCAGGACAUUUGCAGCAGAGUGAACAAUGGAGAAGCAGCAGAUGAGGCCAGAAAUACACUCAGGAGCAAAACCUGUAGAGCCUUAAAGAUCACGUCCUAUGCUUCCUGGAUACAUGGCAGUCAGCCUUUGAUCUUGGUGCCUCUGGAUAGCUGCAUGCUCCACUUUUCCAGCAGAUGACUGACCAAAUAACAACAACAACAACAAAAAAAUGAGCGCAAGAUAAAAUCAUGCUUGUCAACAC